rnacentral:rRNA from 1 species
UACGUAGGGUGCAGGCGUUAAUCGGAAUUACUGGGCGUAAAGCGUGCGCAGGCGGCUCCUUAAGUCAGAUGUGAAAUCCCCGGGCUUAACCUGGGAACUGCGUUUGAAACUGAGGGGCUAGAGUGUGGAAGAGGGGGGUGGAAUUCCAGGUGUAGCAGUGAAAUGCGUAGAGAUCGGGAGGAAGGCCGGUGGCGAAGGCGGCGCUCUGGAACGUUACUGACGCUGAGACACGAAAGCGUGGGGAGCAAACAGG